AUACGUAGGUGGCAAGCGUUGUCCGGAUUUACUGGAUGUAAAGGGGGCGCAGGCGGGAAGCUAAGUUGGAUGUGAAAUACCGGGGCUCAACUCCGGAGCUGCAUCCAAAACUGGUUUUCUUGAGUGGAGUAGAGGCAAGCGGAAUUCCGAGUGUAGCGGUGAAAUGCGUAGAUAUUCGGAGGAACACCAGUGGCGCAGGCGGUUUUCUGCGCGCUAACUUACGCUGAGCCCCGAAAGCGUGGGGAGCAAACAUGAUUAGCUACCGUGGUAGUCCACUCCGUAAACGAUGGUUCCUAGGUGUGGGGGGUCUGACCCCUUCCGUGCCGCAGUUAACGCAAUAAGUAAUCCACCUGGGGAGUUCGGCCUCAAGGCUGAAACUCAAAGUAAUUGACGGGG
rnacentral:rRNA from 1 species